AGGUCUCACCAGGGGAGUCCCGACAAGGGGCUGAGAUACUGCUGGCCCAGAUAUUGGGCAGCGCAGUGACCCGUUGAACCUGAUCCAGUUCACACUGGCGUAGGGACGGUGCGAGGUUUCGCGG
rnacentral:ncRNA from 2 species